CCUACGGGAGGCAGCAGUAGGGAAUCUUCCACAGUGGACGAAAGUCUGAUGGAGCAACGCCGCGUGAGUGAAGAAGGUUUUCGGAUCGUAAAACUCUGUUGUUGGAGAAGAAUGUAUCUGAUAGUAACUGAUCAGGUAGUGACGGUAUCCAACCAGAAAGCCACGGCUAACUACGUGCCAGCAGCCGCGGUAAUACGUAGGUGGCAAGCGUUGUCCGGAUUUAUUGGGCGUAAAGCGAGCGCAGGCGGUUUCUUAAGUCUGAUGUGAAAGCCUUCGGCUCAACCGAAGAAGUGCAUCGGAAACUGGGAAACUUGAGUGCAGAAGAGGACAGUGGAACUCCAUGUGUAGCGGUGAAAUGCGUAGAUAUAUGGAAGAACACCAGUGGCGAAGGCGGCUGUCUGGUCUGUAACUGACGCUGAGGCUCGAAAGCAUGGGUAGCAAACAGGAUUAGAUACCCUAGUAGUC
rnacentral:rRNA from 1 species